AAUCAACGCUGGCGGCGUGCCUCAGACAUGCAAGUCGAACGAUUAAAGCUCCCUUCGGGGAGUGCAUAGAGUGGCGCACGGGUGAGUAACACGUAAGUAAUCUACCUUCGAGUGGGGAAUAACGUCCGGAAACGGACGCUAAUACCGCAUAAUGCAGCGGCAUCGCAAGAUGACAGUUGUUAAAGAUUUAUCGCUUGAAGAGGAGCUUGCGGCAGAUUAGCUAGUUGGUAAGGUAAUGGCUUACCAAGGCUACGAUCUGUAACCGGUCUAAGAGGACGGUCGGUCACACUGACACUGAAUAACGGGUCAGACUCCUACGGGAGGCAGCAGUCGGGAAUUUUGGGCAAUGGGGGGAAACCCUGACCCAGCAACGCCGCGUGAAGGAUGAAGUAUUUCGGUAUGUAAACUUCGAAAGAAUGGGAAGAAUCAAUGACGGUACCAUUUAU
rnacentral:rRNA from 1 species